AGAGUUUGAUUUUGGCUCAGAUUGAACGCUGGCGGAAUGCUUUACACAUGCAAGUCGAACGAUGAACCUUAGCUUGCUAAGGGGAUUAGUGGCGAACGGGUGAGUAAUAUAUCGGAACGUGCCUUGUAAUGGGGGAUAACUAGUCGAAAGAUUAGCUAAUACCGCAUACGCCCUGAGGGGGAAAGUAGGGGAUCUUCGGACCUUACGUUAUAAGAGCGGCCGAUAUCUGAUUAGCUAGUUGGUGGGGUAAUGGCCUACCAAGGCGACGAUCAGUAGCUGGUCUGAGAGGACGACCAGCCACACUGGAACUGAGACACGGUCCAGACUCCUACGGGAGGCAGCAGUGGGGAAUUUUGGACAAUGGGCGCAAGCCUGAUCCAGCCAUUCCGCGUGAGUGAAGAAGGCCUUCGGGUUGUAAAGCUCUUUCGCAAGGGAAGAAAACUUACUUUCUAAUAAAGAGUGAGGCUGACGGUACCUUGAUAAGAAGCACCGGCUAACUACGUGCCAGCAGCCGCGGUAAUACGUAGGGUGCGAGCGUUAAUCGGAAUUACUGGGCGUAAAGCGUGCGCAGGCGGUUUGGCAAGUCAGAUGUGAAAUCCCCGAGCUCAACUUGGGAACUGCGUUUGAAACUGCCAGACUAGAAUAUGUCAGAGGGGGGUAGAAUUCCACGUGUAGCAGUGAAAUGCGUAGAGAUGUGGAGGAAUACCAAUGGCGAAGGCAGCCCCCUGGGAUAAUAUUGACGCUCAUGCACGAAAGCGUGGGGAGCAAACAAGAGGAGAUACCCUGGUAGUCCACGCCCUAAAAGACGUCUAAAGGGUGUUGGUGGAGUAAAAUCCAUGAGUAACGCAGCUAACGCGUGAAGUAGGCCGCCCGGGGGGUACGGUCGCAAGAUAAAAACACAAAGGAAAAGACGGGGGCCCGCACCCCCGGUGGAGUAUGUGGAUUAAUUCGAUGCAACGCGCAAAACCUCACCUGGCCUCGACACGCCACCAACGAAGCAGAGAUGCAUUAGGUGCCCGAAAGGGAAAGAAGACACAGGUGCUGCAUGGCUGUCGUCAGCUCGUGUCGUGAGAAGUUGGGUUAAGUCCCGCAACGAGCGCAACCCCCCCCCCUAAUUGCCAUCAUUUAGUUGGGCACUUUAAUGGGACUGCCGGCGACAAACCGGAGGAAGGUGGGGGGGACGUCAAGUCCUCAUGGCCCUUAUGGCCAGGGCGUCACACGUAAUACAAUGGUCGGUACAGAGAGAUGCCAAGCCGCGAGGGGGAGCUGAUCUCUGAAAGCCGCUCG
rnacentral:rRNA from 1 species